CAAUUGUAGCUGUAAAAACUGUAGCUGUAUCAACCACAAGAGUAGACUGAGACUCAUGAUCAUCAACUGAUUCAGCAAGAGACUGGCCUAAAGUUCACUUUGUAAACUGUUGUUCCUUUUUAGCAGGCUUGUUCACAAAGGACAUAGCCUGUGAAGCUUGUCCAGGCUUUUAGACAUUGCAACUGACAAAAAAAGAACACUGAAAUAGCACUAAAUAAUGAAAUGAUUAUGCUUUCUAGUGUUGCUGUGGUGGCCCACUGUGAUUGGCACCAAAGUCUUACCACCUCCUCCUUUAUUUAGUCUCUCUUCAUCACCUUGUUAUCAGCCUGCCAUUUAUGCAUUCAUAAUUAUAAGAUUUUCAUAAAAAAUUGAAAUUAUAAUUGCAA